UCCUGGCCUAAAUAUAAGCUGGACAAUAUAAACAACUGUUUAAAAUCCAAAGAACUUGGCGGCGUUCAAACACCUCAGGGGAACCUGUCCCUUAAUUCGAUAAUCCACGACUGCUCAUCCUACUUUAGCCUUAUCAGUCAGUGUACUGCCGUCAUAAGCAUACCUUAAAAAGCCCCAGUAUGCAACAAUGCCACACAUUUAUGUCAGGUCAAAGUGCUGCCAAUAAGUAGGUGGAGAUGGGUUACAUCCUCAACUAAGCUAACCAUAUAAACUUCAAAAAGUUUACCAAAGUUGGACUUGAUNGUAAUGAGUAUCACNUAAUACCCAUGAACCUGAAUCUAGAACGUGCACAUAUCGCCCGUCACUCUCGUCGAAAGAUG
rnacentral:rRNA from 1 species